rnacentral:tRNA from 1 species
GGCCACGUAGCCAAGUAGCUAAGGCGGCGCUCUGCAAAAGCGCUAUACGUGAGUGCAAAUCUCGCCGUGGCCUCAA